ACGCGAAAACUUUACAAUGCUGGCAACAGCGAUAAGGGAACCUCGAGUGCCAGGUUACAAAUCUGGCUGUCGAGAUGACUAAAAAGCAUUUCAUAGCAAGGGCCGGGCAAGACCGGUGCCAGCAGCCGCGGUAACACCGGCGGCUCGAGUGGUAACCGUUAUUAUUGGGUCUAAAGGGUCUGUAGCCGGCCGGAUAAGUCUCUUGAGAAAUCUGGCAGCUUAACUGUCAGGCGUUCAGGAAAUACUGUCUGGCUCGAGGCCGGGAGAGGUGAGAGGUACUUCAGGCGUAGGGGUGAAAUCUUGUAUUCCUUGCAGGACCACCAGUCGCGAACGCGUCUCACCAGAACGGACCCGACGGCAAGGUACGAAAGCUAGGGGCACGAACU
rnacentral:rRNA from 1 species